CACAAGCGGUGGAGUAUGUGGUUUAAUUCGACGCAACGCGCAGAACCUUACCUAGACUUGACAUCCCGGGGAGUUUCUGGAAACAGAGAAGUGCUUUAGCAAUAAAGAACCCGGUGACAGGUGCUGCAUGGCUGUCGUCAGCUCGUGCCGUGAGAUGUUCGGUUAAGUCCGCUAACGAGCGCAACCCUCGUCGUAUGUUAUAUGUGUCAUACGAGACUGCCGGUAAAAAGCCGGAGGAAGGUGAGGAUGAUGUCAAGUCAGCAUGACCUUUAUAUCCAGGGCUACACACACGCUACAAUGGUCUGUACAAUGGGUAGCCAAGCCGCGAGGCGGAGCCAAUCCUGAAAGCAGGCCUCAGUUCAGAUUGCAGUCUGCAACUCGACUGCAUGAAGCCGGAGUUGCUAGUAACCGCAGGUCAGCAAUACUGCGGUGAAUACGUUCCCGGGUCUU
rnacentral:rRNA from 1 species